rnacentral:SRP_RNA from 1 species
GCUGGGUGUGGUGGCGGGCGCCUGUAAUCCCAGCUACUCGGGGGGCUGAGGCAGGAGAAUUGCUUGAACCCAGGAGGCGGAGUUUGCAGUGAGCUGAGAUCACACCACUGCACUCCAGCCUGGGUGACAGAGCGAGACUCUGUCUCAA